UGGGGAAUAUUGCACAAUGGGCGAAAGCCUGAUGCAGCAACGCCGCGUGAGUGAUGAAGGUCUUCGGAUUGUAAAGCUCUGUCUUUUGGGACGAUAAUGACGGUACCAAAGGAGGAAGCCACGGCUAACUACGUGCCAGCAGCCGCGGUAAUACGUAGGUGGCGAGCGUUGUCCGGAUUUACUGGGCGUAAAGGGUGCGUAGGCGGAUGUUUAAGUGGGAUGUGAAAUACCCGGGCUUAACUUGGGUGCUGCAUUUCAAACUGGAUAUCUAGAGUGCAGGAGAGGAGAAUGGAAUUCCUAGUGUAGCGGUGAAAUGCGUAGAGAUUAGGAAGAACACCAGUGGCGAAGGCGAUUCUCUGGACUGUAACUGACGCUGAGGCACGAAAGCGUGGGUAGCAAACAGGAUUAGAUACCCUGGUAGUCCACGCCGUAAACGAUGAGUACUAGGUGUAGGAGGUAUCGACCCCUUCUGUGCCGCAGUAAACACAUUAAGUACUCCGCCUGGGAAGUACGAUCGCAAGAUUAAAACUCUAAAGUGAA
rnacentral:rRNA from 1 species